UAUCAUAGCCAAUGAGGUUUAUCUGAGGCGCGAUUAUUGCUAAUUGAAAAUUUUUUC
rnacentral:snRNA from 1 species